ACUUGUACAGAGUUUUAAUUUCUCUAAAUUUAUGCCUCUUUUAACCAGCCUUGCACAGCGCAGAGCAUGCUCCUCACCUGGGCGUUUCAGCUCGGCUUCCUUCCCCUUCCUGGAAUAGCAUCUCACAUCUGCUGAGGUCCAAGGGAAAACUCCUUCAGAUGUCAAAGGAGGCCCAGCUGGAGCACUCGUGUGUGCCCUGAGCUGAGGUCCUGCCGGGCAGUGCCCCACUGAGUGACCCCGAGACAGCGGCUGCUCCGUGCUCCCGAGACAAGGAGGAAGCUCUGCAGACACAACUCCCAGAAAAGCUGUCACGUCCCUGCUUCUGCAGCCUUGGCUCUGGUCACAGAAGUCAUCAAGGGAAAGAUGUCCGAUUUCACACGUAUUCGUCUGAUGUGGAGCUCCUGGGUGGAAUUCACAGGCCUGUACCAGUAGCUCCUCAGCUCUUUCCACAGAUCAUACCACGACUGAGACGUCCCCUCCCAGGUGUGAAGGACAUCCACAAAGUUGGCAUCAUCAGGGGAGAGGCGCCUGCUGGGGUCCACUCCUUCAAACAUGGGGCCAGCAGGAUCCAAGCCUGGAGUCAGAGACAGAACACAAGGGGCCAGGUAAGAAAUUGGGCUGUUUCAUACAGAGCACAGCCAGAAGCCUGCUGCUGGCAGGUCUCCUCACCAGCUGAUUCACAGACAGUCCCAGCCUCAUUGCUGGUACUGUCCCUCAAGAUGUCUUCACCACGGGCUCACUGGCAUAAAUAAAAACGUCCCACUCCACUUUUGGGGCAGCACAACCCAAUAGCAGCACCAUGAUGAGAUUGGCUGUUGGAAGCAAAGAGCCUUCACCAGGGGAUGGUGAAGAGAUGGUUCAAGAGGCAGCUCCAAACACCAGAAGAGGGACAGCUGGCAGCCAAAGCUGCCUCAGUGACAUUUAGUCUGUUUUCAGACUGCAGAUAUGGAGGGACUAACACAAAGCAGCAGCCAAGAAUUACCUUCAUCUGAGAUCCCAUGAUGGGUUUGGGAUGUUCUGUUUACCCCUGAGCCUCACCCCCAACCAGAAGCUGCACUCCAGAGCAUUUCUACAACUUGACUGUUAGGUGAUUUUUUUUUCCCCUGAUUAAUUAAAUACAUUUAUUGCUAGGCUAUGUGGAAUUCUAACUGCCAGUGUCACAUGUAAAUCCUUAAUGCAACUCCUUGUACUAUGCCCUAAGUUCUCACAUGUUGAAAUCAGCUUUCCUCUGGAGCUGGAAGCAAACUCUUCAGAUACUUCCAGAAUGAGGGUUUGGAGUUGAUUUCUUUUUUUUAAUCAGAUAUCCUGUGGGACAAACAGCACCCAAUAGCUCUCGCCUCCAUUAGCUUAUGAGCUAUAAUUACAAAAACACUAUCACUCAGAGGAAUAGCAUUUGGAUAGUAAGAGCUUGAGCUGGACUUGUUUCGGAGCCACAUUUAAAUUCAAACAAACCCAGAACCAGUUUGUCCUGGGUAAGGUUUUUUCACUGAAGCCUUGCUAUAAUUGAUAUGAGGAGACCUGUGCUUUCCACUGCUGCCACAAGCAGAAAAUUUGUCAUUUCUGGAAGAAUAACACCAAAACAACAUUGUAGCAACACAGGAAACGAGCCUGUUCGGGGAAACUCACUGCCAGG